CUCAGUUGGGAGAGCGUCAGACUGAAGAUCUGAAGGUCACGUGUUCGAUCCACGUUCACCGCAUUUAAUUUAAUGAUUUUGUGAUUCCAAAUGGGUGUUAGCAAUCUUCAUAAACAAAUAGUAGGAAAUCCUCCUUUAUGUCACUCUUUCACUUUUGUUUGUCCUCGUUUUACUGAGUUCUGUAUUAACCCUUCGUUGUAUGUUUGUAUUUUAAUAAAUAAGCAUUUGGUUUUGCUGGAGUGAGUUACAAGUUUGGUUACUGACAAAUACAGAAAGUGGUCAUUGUCUUGAGAGUAUCAUUCCCUCAGAAUAAGGGAAUACCAUUCCUGGAAACAUCAGUUCAGUAGCCAUUAGACUCUCGGUAUUUUCUUGAGAUAAGAAAAACAUUAUUUGCUACCAUCACUGCACUGCCGUCACUCACUACAACAAUCAGGACCACCACCACCACCACCAAUUCCACUUUUGGAAUCAUUCUUUUCCUCAACUUACCAAACAUGAUAAGAGGAGUGAGAAUUCCAUUUCAUUUCUUUCCAUUACUGUUCCCAUCAAAACCAUUCCAUUGAUCCAAAAGGUAGCUAAAUGGUUCGCAUAUAAAUCCACAGGAUACUAUGUCCACACUAGGGUUGUCAAUGUCAUGAAAGAGCUGCUACUGUUUUAUGGUUGGAAAUGUUAUCCUUAUCCAAUAGUAUGCAAUAUGUGUUCUCCUUGGUUGAUUACCCUAUAGAUGAGUUUGCCUGCUAAUUAUCUUCAAGAAGUGAUAUAAUGAUAGACUUUGGGAGAAUAAGAUGACACCGAGGACUAUAGUAGUGUUUCAAGCUGUCUCCAUUGUAUAAAAGCAUCUGUUACACUAUAGAUUCUUGUACUUGAUUGAUUGAUCUCUUCACAUUUUAUACCCUUGUAAAGAGUGAUUUGUGAGUGGUAAUAUAAUUUUAAACUUCCCUUGAAGGGGAGUGUUGUGAUAUAAGUUGCUUCAAAACUGAUUUUUGUAUUGUAGUAUAG